rnacentral:rRNA from 1 species
GGCGGCAGGCUUAACACAUGCAAGUCGAACGGUAACGGGGAGGGAGAUUACUUUCUCUGCUGACGAGUGGCGGACGGGUGAGUAAAGCUUGGGAAUCUGGCGAAUGGAGGGGGAUAGCCACGGGAAACUGUGGGUAAUACCGCGUAGUGUCUAAGGACUAAAGGGGUGGGACUGAGAGGCCACCUGCCAUUUGAUGAGCCCAAGUGGGAUUAGGUAGUUGGUGAGGUAAGGGCUCACCAAGCUGACGAUCUCUAGCUGGUCUGAGAGGAUGGCCAGCCACACUGGAACUGAGACACGGUCCAGACUCCUACGGGAGGCAGCAGUGGGGAAUAUUGCGCAAUGGGGGGAACCCUGACGCAGCCAUGCCGCGUGAAUGAAGAAGGCCUUCGGGUUGUAAAGUUCUUUCGGUGAUGAGGAAGGCGAUUAGUUUAAGAGAUUAAUUGAUUGACGAUAAUCACAGAAGAAGCACCGGCUAACUCCGUGCCAGCAGCCGCGGUAAUACGGAGGGUGCGAGCGUUAAUCGGAAUGACUGGGCGUAAAGGGCACGCAGGUGGUGACUUAAGUGAGGUGUGAAAUCCCCGGGCUUAACCUGGGAACAGCAUUUCAGACUGGGUGACUAGAGUACUUUAGGGAAGGGUAGAAUUCCACGUGUAGCGGUGAAAUGCGUAGAGAUGUGGAGGAAUACCGAANGCGAAGGCAGCCCCUUGGGAAGAUACUGACGCUCGAGUGCGAAAGCGUGGGGAGCAAACAGGAUUAGAUACCCUGGUAGUCCACG